AGGACCUUCUACACUAUCCAUUCUGCUAGAGAGGUUGGAGGCUUUGAACUUGAGCUUCAAUAAAGACUUUACUUUUGCAUAUUAACGACUGGGAAAACAUCCAAGGUUGCUGUUCCUGUGUGGCCCCCUUCCCCCAAUCCUCACACCAUAGAGCUGAAGAGCCAGCAUUUGCAUCGCAGAGAGCAAAAAACAGCCAACUGAAGAGCUGAAAAGGGGUUUGCAACUCCAUAGGAAGAACAACAAUAUCAACCAACCAGACCCCAUCAGAACUCCCAGGGACCAAACCACCAGCCAAAGAAUAUACAUGGAGGGACCCAUGGCUCCAGCUGCAUAUGUAGCAGAGGAUGGCCUUGUCUGAAAUCAAUGGGAG